GCACGUAGUUAGCCGGYGCUUAUUCUUACGGUACCGUCAUUAGCCCUCUUUAUUAGAAAAGGCCGUUUCGUUCCGUACAAAAGCAGUUUACAACCCGAAGGCCUUCAUCCUGCACGCGGCAUGGCUGGAUCAGGCUUGCGCCCAUUGUCCAAAAUUCCCCA
rnacentral:rRNA from 1 species